AGAGUUUGAUCAUGGCUCAGAACGUACGCUGGCGGCACGCCUAACACAUGCAAGUCGAACGAAGUAUCAAUACUUAGUGGCAGACGGGUGAGUAACAUGUGGGUAUCUGCCCUUUGGCCUGGAAUAACACGAGGAAACUUGUGCUAAUACCGGAUAAGUCUUUACGGAGAAAGCUUUAUGCACCAUUAGGAUGAGCCCGCACUUGAUUAGUUUGUUGGUGGGGUAAUGGCCUACCAAGACUGUGAUCAAUAGCUGAUUUGAGAGGAUGAUCAGCCACAUUGGGACUGAGACACGGCCCAAACUCCUACGGGAGGCAGCAGUGGGGAAUCUUGCACAAUGGAGGAAACUCUGAUGCAGCGAUGCCGCGUGAGUGAAGAAGGCCCUUGGGUUGUAAAGCUCUUUCGUCGGGGAAGAAAAUGACUGUACCCGAAUAAGAAGGUCCGGCUAACUUCGUGCCAGCAGCCGCGGUAAUACGAAGGGACCUAGCGUAGUUCGGAAUUACUGGGCUUAAAGAGUUCGUAGGUGGUUGAAAAAGUUGGUGGUGAAAUCCCAGAGCUUAACUCUGGAACUGCCAUCAAAACUUUUCAGCUAGAGUUUGAUAGAGGAAAGCAGAAUUUCUAGUGUAGAGGUGAAAUUCGUAGAUAUUAGAAAGAAUACCAAUUGCGAAGGCAGCUUUCUGGAUCAUUACUGACACUGAGGAACGAAAGCAUGGGUAGCGAAGAGGAUUAGAUACCCUCGUAGUCCAUGCCGUAAACGAUGUGUGUUAGACGUUGGAAAUUUAUUUUCAGUGUCGCAGCGAAAGCGAUAAACACACCGCCUGGGGAGUACGACCGCAAGGUUAAAACUCAAAUGAAUUGACGGGGACCCGCACAAGUAGUGGAGCAUGUGGUUUAAUUCGAAGAUACGCGCAGAACCUUACCAACACUUGACAUGUUCGUCGCGACUUUAAGAGAUUAAAGUUUUCGGUUCGGCCGGACGAAACACAGGUGCUGCAUGGCUGUCGUCAGCUCGUGUCGUGAGAUGUUGGGUUAAGUCCCGCAACGAGCGCAACCCUCACUUUUAGUUGCCAUCAUUAAGUUGGGCACUCUGAAAGAACUGCCAGUGAUAAGCUGGAGGAAGGUGGGGAUGACGUCAAGUCCUCAUGGCCCUUACGUGUUGGGCUACACACGUGCUACAAUGGUAUUUACAACAGGAAGCAAAACAGCGAUGUUAAGCAAAUCCUUAAAAAAUACCUCAGUUCGGAUUGCACUCUGCAACUCGAGUGCAUGAAGCUGGAAUUACUAGUAAUCGUGGAUCAGCGUGCCACGGUGAAUGCGUUCCC
rnacentral:rRNA from 1 species